rnacentral:rRNA from 1 species
CCUACGGGUGGCUGCAGUCGAGGAUCUUCGGCAAUGAGCGCAAGCUUGACCGAGCGACGCCGCGUGAGCGAUGAAGGCCUCCGGGUUGUAAAGCUCUUUAGGGGGGGAGAAAAGCCCGCAAGGGUGUGAUCUAUCCCCAAAAUAAGCACGGGCUAAGUUCGUGCCAGCAGCCGCGGUAAGACGAACCGUGCGAACGUUGUUCGGAAUCACUGGGCUUAAAGGGCGCGUAGGCGGGCUGUCAAGUCUGGGGUGAAAUGCCGCGGCUCAACCGUGGAACUGCCUUAGAUACUGACGGCCUCGAGGAAGGUAGGGGCAUGCGGAACUGUAGGUGGAGCGGUGAAAUGCGUUGAUAUCUACAGGAACUCCGGUGGCGAAAGCGGCGUGCUGGACCUUUUCUGACGCUGAGGCGCGAAAGCUAGGGGAGCAAACGGGAUUAGAUACCCGGGUAGUCG